rnacentral:rRNA from 1 species
AUUGAACGCUGGCGGCAUGCUUUACACAUGCAAGUCGAACGGCAGCGCGGGCUUCGGCCUGGCGGCGAGUGGCGAACGGGUGAGUAAUGCAUCGGAACGUGCCCAGUAGUGGGGGAUAGCCCGGCGAAAGCCGGAUUAAUACCGCAUACGACCUGAGGGUGAAAGCGGGGGACCGAAAGGCCUCGCGCUAUUGGAGCGGCCGAUAUCGGAUUAGCUAGUUGGUGGGGUAAAGGCUUACCAAGGCGACGAUCCGUAGCUGGUCUGAGAGGACGACCAGCCACACUGGGACUGAGACACGGCCCAGACUCCUACGGGAGGCAGCAGUGGGGAAUUUUGGACAAUGGGGGCAACCCUGAUCCAGCCAUGCCGCGUGCGGGAAGAAGGCCUUCGGGUUGUAAACCGCUUUUGUUCGGGAAGAAAUCCUCUGGGCUAAUACCCCGGGGGGAUGACGGUACCGGAAGAAUAAGCACCGGCUAACUACGUG